rnacentral:tRNA from 1 species
GGAUUCUAAGUUAAACUAUUCUUGG